GCAUCUUGUGCCUUUCCAUGGCAGACUGCUUAAGGACACUUGAAAGCUGGAGUGGCAUGCAGUACCUACUGGGCUGUCUGACAAGCAGUUGAGGUGUAGACAGCCCUGCUCACUCUUCCUGGCUCAUUAGGACCAUUGGUUAGUCCUGAGUGUCCUCCUGCCUUCCAGCUGGGGCUCUGUAGCUCAUGUGUAGGACAGCAUGCUGGCUCUCCUGUGCCACUGUGGCCCCCUGGCACUGGAAGGCUAUGUACGCCCGGCAGGUGGAAUGCUGUCUGUAGCAGAGAUGAAUACAAGCAGACAAUAUCAGCCUCCCUACCCCACAGUGACUAGCCAUUGACCUUAACCCUGAAGGAAAGGGGCACUCUCACUAGGGGAAUUGCAUGCUUACUCAGCCCUAAGCCACAUCUGAGCCGAAGCCACCAAUUUUGCCAAAUUAUGUGUGAUGCUUUUGAAAUGUGGACUAUUGUCCACCAGGGACUAAGCUAAAAUGACUGAAUUCAUUUCACUUAAGUUUUCAAUGGCAAUAACAUUAUUUUUUAAAAAAAUACCAACAAUAAAACAUUUAUCAUUCUGAUUUUAUUCA
rnacentral:lncRNA from 1 species